AUGCCGGGGCCGGGGGCGCACCUGCUGUACGCGCUGUCCGGCGGGGCGGCGCUCUCCCGGCUCGCCGGCGGUGGCCGCCGCUUCGGCCCGCACCACUGCGCCGUCUACGCCUUCAACGCCUUCCUCGGCCCGGACCUCGGCGCCUUCGCCGAGUGGCUCGCGUCCUUCCUCCCCUCCACCCCCGCCGCCGCCGCCGCGGGGGACCUCGCCAUGGCCGCCGUCCACCACCCCUUCUACUACCCGCUCCUCCUCGGCCUCCCGCUCGCAUGCCUCUACGCGUGGCUCUCCCGCCGGAUGCUCCGCGCCGGCCUCCUCGACGCGCCUGCCGGGGUAGUAUUAAGCAGAAGACAGUGCUUCUUGCUAAUCGCAGCCGGCUCGCUCUCCCACUUCUUCUUGGAUCACUUGUUUGAGGAAAAUGGCCAUUCUACAAUGUAUACUUGGAUACUGAGGACUGGUUGGUGGAAAGGCCGCGCUCCUAUCAAUCCAGAUGCAGUGUUUGUUGUUGGCCUUCUUUGCGUUUGCCUCAUUGGGGGAUUUGUGUACAUUAACAGAGUGAACCAUGGGAAGUCAGUGACUGAAAAGUCAAAUCAAUCUUUCUUUCUCAUCCUGGUGAUAGCCACCCUGUACUGUAUGUGGUGUGCCAGCCAGAUAUACCUGCGAAAUCCCCCUCAACCCGCCAUAGGUGAAGAGGCUGAUCUUGGAGUGAUAAUAUUUCUUGCAAUUUACCUUUUUCUCCCGCAUGGCUUGUGUGUCUUGUCGAUGAACCAAAAAGAUUACAAUGAAGCAUUGGAUGGACUGCCAGUUUGA
rnacentral:rRNA from 1 species